rnacentral:lncRNA from 1 species
GCCGAAGGGCUCUUGGAUGAAGGCUCAUGUGUUGUUUGAUGACCAAACAAAACGAUUAGGUUUCCUCAUUAAACCGUAGCUUUGGCUCUAAGCUACCUCACGUAUAUAAAGAGCCUUAGGCUUUACAAAUUUGACACUCCUAACCCUAGGAGAGUUCUAGCCGAAAAUGUCACUCUCCCUCUCCAUAAUCCUUAGUUGUUAGUAUUGGGUGUGAACCAUCAGAGGCAUGACACUUAUCGUGCUAGCUACCAAAAGAUUUGAAGAAGGAUUCAAGGAUUAUUUAUAAUAACGAUCUUAAAUGUUAGUUUUCUUAUCUUAGGAAUAUGUUUACUUAUAGGAAAGCUUUUUAUGGUAGCGUUCAUAGCAUGCUGCAACUAUGUGAAAGACAUAGAUCAAACUAGAUUAUAUGUGCCUUAAUCAAUUGAAUUGUUGUAACGACCUAAAAAACAAGGGUAAAAAUUUUAGUUUUGUUACAGUCAAAACACAAAUAUCCUUUAAAUCCAAGAAUUCCAAAAGAUUGUUAAUUAAAACGUUUAUCAGAUUCCUUCCCAAAAUUAUAUGAUACGGAGAACACAGGUGUGCACUGCGAUCAAGCCAGGUCGUUCCUUUCCAAACCGAUGAUACCUAGAACAAUAAAAAAAAAUUGUAAGCACGAAGCCUAGUGACUUCCCCAGAGCAUACCCCACAGAAUCCACAUAACCACAUCAUCUAUAUCAGCUAUAAAAGCUACAUAAACCAUAUCAAUCAAGUAGGCCAUAUCAAUCACAUAGCCAUAUCAAUCACAUAGCCAUAUCAUAUAAACAUAUAAGGAUAAUNAUAAUAUGAUAAUAUUAUAUUAAUUACAAAUUAUGAUAUUUGAUUAACAAUUAACCAGAAAUUAACUAGAAUUAAUUUUGGGGUUAAUUGGAAAAAUCUAUAGUGCAGGGGUUGUUUGACUAUUUAUUGAUAGUUGAGGAAAAGUCUCGAGUAUCUCCUUGUAUGAGGUUAGAAAAAACCUUCUAGGGAGGGCCUAUUAUUUUCGCCGAAGGGCUCUUGGAUGAAGGCUCAUGUGUUGUUUGAUGACCAAACAAAACGAUUAGGUUUCCUCAUUAAACCGUAGCUUUGGCUCUAAGCUACCUCACGUAUAUAAAGAGCCUUAGGCUUUACAAAUUUGACACUCCUAACCCUAGGAGAGUUCUAGCCGAAAAUGUCACUCUCCCUCUCCAUAAUCCUUAGUUGUUAGUAUUGGGUGUGAACCAUCAGAGGCAUGACACUUAUCGUGCUAGCUACCAAAAGAUUUGAAGAAGGAUUCAAGGAUUAUUUAUAAUAACGAUCUUAAAUGUUAGUUUUCUUAUCUUAGGAAUAUGUUUACUUAUAGGAAAGCUUUUUAUGGUAGCGUUCAUAGCAUGCUGCAACUAUGUGAAAGACAUAGAUCAAACUAGAUUAUAUGUGCCUUAAUCAAUUGAAUUGUUGUAACGACCUAAAAAACAAGGGUAAAAAUUUUAGUUUUGUUACAGUCAAAACACAAAUAUCCUUUAAAUCCAAGAAUUCCAAAAGAUUGUUAAUUAAAACGUUUAUCAGAUUCCUUCCCAAAAUUAUAUGAUACGGAGAACACAGGUGUGCACUGCGAUCAAGCCAGGUCGUUCCUUUCCAAACCGAUGAUACCUAGAACAAUAAAAAAAAAUUGUAAGCACGAAGCCUAGUGACUUCCCCAGAGCAUACCCCACACAAUCCACAUAACCACAUCAUCCAUAUCAGCUAUAAAAGCUACAUAAACCAUAUCAAUCAAGUAGGCCAUAUCAAUCACAUAGCCAUAUCAUAUAAACAUAUAAGGAUAACGUGGGCUCCUCCUGGUGUCUUACUCCAGGAUGCCAUGGGCUCCCUCACAUGGUCUUACACCUAAGUUCCAUGGGCUCCCCCCAUGGUCUUUAGGUAAAAAGUCAUGGGCUCCCCCAUACGGUCUUACAUCCAAAUGCCAUGGCUCCCCUAUGGUCUUUAGCUGAAAAGACAUGGGCUCCCCCACAUGGUCUUACAUCCAAGUGUCUUGGGCUCCCCCAUGGUCUUUACCUGAAAAGCCAUGGGUUCCCCCACAUGGUCUUACAUCCAAGCGUCAUGGGCUCCCCCAUGGUGUUCCAUGCAAGUAUCACAAAGACAAUUAGUAUACCACAUACCACAUAGUCAAAUAGCAUACCACAUAAUCACUAGCAUACCACAUAUACAUGCAUACCAGACAUAUCAGUAGUGAAUCUACAAUAAACACUACAACUAACUGAAUGGGCCGACCUUGGUGCCUUAGACCCAUUGGUAUGGUGAGGAGAUCAAUAAUAUGUUCCCAAUUGGCCCACGAAGGCCCACAACAGUUUAGUCAAAUAAAUGGCUCAACAUGAACCCAAACCCAAUUAGGGUUUUUCAUAUAAUAUGAAGAUUAAGGUUAAGUGUUUCUUACUUAACCCAGUAAGGACUUAAUCCAUUAUGGAAUUAAUACAUUAAGUCCACUACUCCACUAGACAAAACAUACAAAGUAAUCGAGCGUAAUUCAAAACUCCAAAUCCAAUGGUCCAAACGCGGGUCCCGACAAAUCACAAAUUCCCAUUCCUAAAAUUAGGGUUUUCCAAACCCUAAUUAGGGUUUCUAACCCAAUAGCAUUCCAAUUAGUCCAUUUGUGAAGUUUUCGGUCAAAUUAGGGUUUCAUUAGGUCAUUUAGGGUUAGCUAAGUCGGGCACCACCUACUACCACCUCAAGUAGUGCUGGUCAAUUGUGGUUCACGGUGGCGGCCAUCACCUCGAUGUGGUGGUUAUGAUUCUAGUCCAAAUCAUGUCUGAGCAUCCAAUCAUACACAAAUGCAAACCGCCACCAACACGGAGGCUGGUGGCGGCAGAAUGCGGUAGCCACCACCUCACGGUGCUGGUGGUGGUGAUUUCCUUGAUUAUUCUCGCUAAAAAUCCGAUUAUAAAACAUGAUAUCCAAAGUAUACACCAAAUAAACACCAUUCCACAUACAUAGCCACCACCACAUGACGGGUAGUGGUGGCAGGGAAGGAAACAAUGACGGCAACCACCAUCGUUGGCAGCCAAAGUGGUUCUCUUUUACUUCCGACUGACCAAGUACACACACGCCGAUUAAAUCUGAAAUACGCGUCCAAAAACGAGCAGAAAUACUCUUCCUCACAUGAAUCACGAACUCCUCUCAGCGUGGCAAACGGUGACCGGAGUAGUAAAGAACUACACAGGCGGCGACGGUGGACCAGUGACAACGCAAUAGAAGAAUAAAGGGGAAGGAAAAGUGGUCGUGACCCCAACUGGUGAACGGCAGCGGCAAAAAAUCACGUUCCACUAACCAUCCACUGACUCGACGACAAAGGGUGGCCUUCGUCUUCAACCUACUGAAUGCAACAGCGACGGUGUGGCAUCCCCAAAAUCAUGGCCAGAAAAGACCGGUUUCAUUUAUGAUUUUAAAAUAAUUUCACAGUAAAUCUAUUGAUUUAAAAGAGUUGUGGAAUUAAUCCCUAUGUGAGUUAUUAUAACCAUGGUUAAUGUCACUGAUAUGCUUGAACG